UUGAGUUUGACUCUUAUGUUAGCAUAUUCAGAACAAUUCAGUUGACUGUAGUGUUCUGCGAUGACUAAUCUGCGAUGACUUCGUGGAAGGAUAAUCUGCCCAUGAGUCUAUUUGAUGCUGAGAUUGUACCACGGUUUUGCUUAUAUUCCUGGACAGUCGUGUUCUAUGGUGAAAUCCAUGUUAUACUAGCUCUUUGUAUGAGAGUUGGCUUGAUGAUCCUUUCUUUUAUUGUUCUGCUUGACAGCCCGACAGUGUAGUGGAGCGAACUGUUGGAUAAAGAACUAAGAAACCUAGUGAGGUAACCUCCGCCCCGUACAGCGGCCGCGGCAAGAACCAGCCCUUUGGGACUGCCGACAGCGCCCUGGGAGGGGUGCUAUUCUGUGCCAACUUACAAAUUGUGUUUAAACGAGGUAUGAUGCAUUUUUGAUAUUCUUGCAGUGAGGCCCGAAGGCACGAUUUGGUCGAAAAAUAAUGCUCGGUAUGGAGGUUUAUUUGAUUACUUGUAUUUUUUUUAAUAAAAUACCAUUGGUAUUGGGUGAAGGGAUUGUUAAAAAUAGGUGGAAUAGGCAUUGUUUUUUUUUUGUGUGAUUAUAUAUGGUUGGUGUUUAGUUGCUAAGGUUUGUAAUUCGUCAAUGUUUGAAUUAAGGCUUCUGAUGUUCCAGUUGAGGAUAAGCGGAGAGAUGUUAGCAGUAGAGUUGUUUGUGUUGUGGAAUUUUAAUUAUUCAAAUAAAUAGUGCCAAGUAUCGAGAGCAGAAGUCUAAUUCGAAGCGUUAGGUCAGUGUCUAAAGCCUAGUUUUCGCUUUUGGGAUCUGCGUUUUCCCCUUUUGUGCGAUUUUGUUUUCGAUGGUGUACUGUUGUUGCCGUGAGGAAUUUUCUCUUCGCUUGUUGUGUCGACGGUGCUGUAGGAUGAGGAUGAGGGGGAGGCUUUUCGUUUCGGUCCGAUCGAGGUAGAAGUCUUCGAGUCCUUUUGCGUAGCUGUGUUUGCGUCCGUGUUCGUGUUGUUGUUCGCGUUAGUGUUGUUUGAGUCGAUGUUCUGUUCCCCGUUAGUGUCCAUGUUUGGGCUCGAGUUCGCGUCAGCGUUGCUGUCGCUGUUCGAGUCCGUGUGGUUCGAGUCGGCGUUUUCGGUGUGCUUGUUCUUGCGUCGGGAUUGGAGCUGGCUUUUCAAGAAGUCACGUUCCUCAAUCACUUGCUGGAACUUUGCGAGAAUCGAAUUUAAUUUCGAGUUAAUGUGUGCAUUCAUAGCCGUUAACUGUUCUAUUUUGGCGUCGCGUUCGGCCAGUGCCGUGUCGAUUUGUUGUUGUUGCAGUGGUUGUGGUUGUGGUUGUGGUUGUGGUGGUUGUUGUUGUUGCAGUGGUUGUGGUUGUUGUGGUUGUUGCUGUGCAUUAGCCAGUCGCUUUUGGACGGCGGACUCUUGUACCUGACUGUAUAUUUUGCGCGCUUCUGGGUAGCUGAUACAGUUAUCCACCUUGAUGCGGAUAAUGUUCUGUUCGGCCAGAUAGACCGGGCAGGAGCGGUUCAGGGUAGCGUGAUCUCCUUUGCAGUUUUUGCAUCGGGGUGGGUUGUUGCAAGAUCCAUGCUCCGGCAUUGAGCAGUUCGGGCAGGCUGGAGCAGAAUUGCACCGAGCCGUGGUGUGUCCCACAAUCAAGCAUUUAAAGCAUAUCAUGGGCCGGGGGUAGUAGGGACGCGUGCGCACCGAGAUGCAGCCAACGCGCACCUCCUCCGGAACCGUGACCGAGUCGACACGUAGUAGGUAGGCGUUGGUCGGUUUCACCGCACCGUCCACCUUGCGCAUGAACCGCUUCACCUCCACGAUUUUAGUUCCCUCGAUUUGGGCCAGAAUCUCUUCGUCCGUUAGUCCGUCCAGACACGGAGUGACCAUCACACACUGUACGGUAUUGCGAGCUCGGUCAGAGGUGAUUUCCACCGGGGUACCAUCGAUCAGUUUCUUGAUCGCAAGCAGUUUGUCGAACUGCUCACGACUGCGUGUUUUCAUGAGAUAUCGCGCGCCCUGGUCCAUCGGCACGCAAGGCUCGAUGGGACCGACGAACGGCGAGAGGCUUUUCUCGAUCAAAAACGCGUUCUUCGGAAUGGCAAAACCCUUCUGGGGCGCCAAAAUCAGAUAGCGCAGUUCGCCGUGUACGUUCGCUGGAUCGAGCCAUUCGGGGGCCUGACGACCCCUUUUAUUCACUGGGGGGGGACCGUGUCCCCACCCGCCUCCACUCGGGCCCGCCAUCUUGCGGGCCUCACUGCACCAAGUCGCACCAAGACGCAAGUUUGCUGUUGUCCGUUGGCACAAAAUAAUCCCCCCACACAAGCACUAGUCUAACAGUCACCAAAAAUAACCGGUACUCACCGCUGGCAAACGGUCACGAGGCAGAAAAUCCACACUCCCUAGGCUCCCAAGCUCCCCGGGUGAUGGCGUCGGUUUGUGGCGUCGGUUGAGCAAUGGCGUCGCAGAAUACUGUGCACGGGAAAUCGCAGCGUGUUCACUCUCCGAAUGCUAGAACACAAUUGAACAGGAUUUGAUGCUUUUUUUUGGUUGGCACCACGCUUCAAGCCCUUCCCCUCAGUGCGAAUUUUCAAAAAGCCCACGCAAAGCUCCCACUCUCACCCCUCGGUCCACGCGAGAUGCAGCGAUGAUGCGCACGUGUCCUGCGCAGCACUCUCAGCCCGGCGUGAAGGUGCGAAAGAGACGACGCUAUGGAAGCAUGCAAAAAGCGCCCAGAGCUGGAAGCUUCCAAUGCUUUCGCUAUCGUCGUGGGCAAAACGCUAGGAUUGAAAACGAUCUAUGUGUAUGCAUAUUUCGAUAAAAGUGAGUAAUUCGCAUUUUACGUUCAUGUAAUUGCAGGCAUCACUAAACCGGGGAACAGUUUCUCGAUUCGACACACCUGUACAGGCCGUACUUUCGGGCGCAGUGACAGCGUACGUCAGUGUUUUGCUGUGCGGUCGGUCGCUAGCUGGAGCUUAUUGAAGGUAAACAUUGGAAAGGAAAGUUUGGAUAAGCUGCAGUGAAGUUGUGCUUGUUUCGAUGGGAAAGAUGAGGCUGUCUGAGCGAAUGGUUCAAAAUAAUCUACUCCCGUACUCGAAGGUGGUGGAUUGCUCACACGACAACGGGUGAGAAAGUGAGACAACGAAACAAGCUGCUGACGGGGCAGCAGUCGUACAAAAGGAAAUAUCUCCAUCUCUCCGUUUGGGACAGUUGCUGCGCGAAAGGACAAAGGCUGUGUAGCAGCACAAUUCCACAACGGCCCGAACGGGUGGUCGUACCGAGCGUUAUUUGUUUUAUUGACAGAAAACCUACCUCAGCGAAUGCCGAACAACAAUCUGCACCUGUACUCGAAAGUGCUGGUGGCUCACACGACAACGGGCGAGAAACGUCCCAUACCUGUGUGUCAACGGCUAGAGUGGGAAUAUCCGGUCACGCUGAACAUGUCCAGCUUAAGCUUCGGCACCGGUCCAAACGAUCAUCUACUCGUCCAGGAGCAGCAACAGCAGCAGCAGCAAGCACCACCGAAUGGGUUCAACGGUUCAACGGUCCACACACGGUAGGAAGUAAGGGACGUAUUUGCCAGAAGGAAAUCAGUGCUGUUCUUCUGGUAGAUGUAUCUUGUUGAAGAAAAGGAAAAUGUUUAUGGGAAAGGUCCCCAAAUGAGCGGUGCGUGUGUGGAGAGAGCAACAGCAAAAGAUGAACAUACAUUAUGUCAAUCCGUAUUGGUGUGAAUGUGUUCCUUGCCCACACGGGGAGGAACGCAAAAUAAAGAAGGCAAUAUGUUUAUAACGAA